ACGAACGCUGGCGGCAGGCCUAAAACAUGCAAGUCGAGCGCUCUAGCAAUAGAGAGCGGCGCACGGGUGAGUAACACGUGGGAAUGUGCCUUUUGGUACGGAACAACUUUUGGAAACGAAAGCUAAUACCGUAUGGUCCCUUCGGGGUAAAGAUUUAUCGCCAAAAGAGCAGCCCGCGUCUGAUUAGCUAGUUGGUGAGGUAAUGGCUCACCAAGGCGACGAUCAGUAGCUGGUCUGAGAGGACGAUCAGCCACACUGGGACUGAGACACGGCCCAGACUCCUACGGGAGGCAGCAGUUAGGAAUAUUGGACAAUGGGCGCAAGCCUGAUCCAGCCAUGCCGCGUGAGUGAUGAAGGCCUUCGGGUUGUAAAGCUCUUUAGUCCACGAAUAUAAUGACUGUAGUGGAAGAAUAAGCCCCGGCUAACUUCGU
rnacentral:rRNA from 1 species